UGUCCAGGGCGGGAAUCGAACCCACAACGUUCCGCUUACCGGGCAGAUGCCAUGUCCACUAGGCUACCCUGGAC
rnacentral:tRNA from 1 species